rnacentral:rRNA from 1 species
GCCCUUAGAUGUUCUGGGCCGCACGCGCGCUACACUGACAGAGCCAGCGAGUUUUUCACCUUGGCCGGAAGGUCUGGGUAAUCUUGUGAAACUCUGUCGUGCUGGGGAUAGAGCAUUGCUAUUAUUGCUCUUCAACGAGGAAUUCCUAGUAAGCGUGAGUCAUCAGCUCGCGUUGAUUACGUCCCUGCCCUUUGUACACACCGCCCGUCGCUACUACCGAUUGAAUGGCUUAGUGAGGUCUUCGGAUUAGCUUCGGAGGGCCGGAAACGGCCCACUGUUGCUGAGAAGUUGAUCAAACUUGGUCAUUUAGAGGAAGUAAAAGUCGUAACAAGGUUUCCGUAGGUGAACCUGCGGAAGGAUCAUUACCGAAUUGUCAACACGAGUUGUUGCUGGUCCUCAAAUGGGGGCACGUGCACACUCUGUUUACACAUCCACUCACACCUGUGCACCUUCUGUAGUUCUGGGGGCAUGGGGGACUCUGUCCUCCGUCAUUGGUCCCUACGUCUUUACACAACACCCUGGUAACAAAAGUCUCGUGGAAUGCAAUACGCGUUUAACGCAAUAAAAUACAACUUUCAACAACGGAUCUUUUGGCUCUCCC